AAUUAGAAAGCGAUUAUUUGCAUUUAGUUUCGACCUAAAUCCUUGGCUUCAAUAUAAGCCUCUAAUUA
rnacentral:tRNA from 1 species